rnacentral:lncRNA from 1 species
GUGGACUUCCUAGCUGCCUGGAAGCCAGUAUUCUGCUAACAGCCUUCCGACGAAGAUGUAGAACUCUCGGCUCCUCCUGCACCAUGCCUGUCUGGAUGCUACCACACUUCCUGCCGUGAUGAUAAUGGACUGAACCUCUGAACAUGUGACCUUGUGAGUUUGUGGCAUGUGCCUUUGUGAGGAUCCCUUCCAUUCGCUUCUGCAUACAGACAGACCCUAACUUUCACGGCUACUUCCUGACAUCUCAGUCAGUCACCUGCAGUGUGGAAAUCUUGAUGAGCCCCUCUAAGAAAAUGAACGUGGGGUAUGAACAGCAUUGAGCCCAUGGGCUGUGGGGACAUUAGAGAAAAGGAGGCAGAAAGAAUGGAAAAGCCAGGAGCUGAGGAGGACAGCUGUGAGAUGCUUCCAGACACGGUGGGACAUGGCUAUUGCGCUCACAGACUCAAAGCAGCGAUGGUACCUACACAACCCGAUCAAGCCGGUCAAGUCGGAUGUGGUGGCCCACACCUCUGAUCAGAGGCAGGCAGAUCUCUGAGUUCAAAGCCAGCCUGGUCUACAGAGUGAGUUCUAGGACAGAGAAACCCUGUCUUAGCCAAAAGCCAAAAACAAAAAAUCAAUGGAA